GCACACUACUUGCCUAUUCAAAAAUCCUAAAAGAAGCCAUUUCUUCUUACAGUCACUGAGAAUGUCCUGGCUUCAGAUUUCUGCCUUCCUCUUUGCUGACGUGAAUCAGAUUUACCUUCUCCAAAAAUUUGUCUUGUUGCCAGCCUCACCUUAAGAGUCUUGAGAAGGAGUUAUUUAAGAAACCCACUUUACCAAAUAGCGUGAUAUUUCUGAUGACAUUAGAGUUACUCCAUACUCUUGAGAUGUGCAGGUGAGAUCAGACUUCUGAUAACUCCAGAUUAUGGACUUAAUUCUGCCCUAGUUAUACUCAAGGAUUUUUAGUUAACUAACUAGUUAGUUAACUAGUUUAGUUAACUAACAAGGAUUUUUAGUUAACUAACUAAAAUCAAUUCCUGUAUAUCAUUUCGCCUUACAGUCCUUUCUGUUUGAGCUAGCUGAUUGGCAACAUUUUUAAGUGAAAAGACAAGCUCUUUUUUGCUAAUCACAAAAGGCAGUAAGCAGUAAGGUUAUUAGCUGCAAAGCAGCAUGAGUUUGUAGGCUGCUAAAUAAUAA
rnacentral:lncRNA from 1 species